AGUGAACGCUGGCGGUAGGCCUAACACAUGCAAGUCGAACGGCAGCACAGUAAACGUUGCCUCUUACGGGGGACGAGUGGGGGAGGGGGACGGAUUACUACGAAAUCUAUUUUUUGGUGGGGAUUAGGGGAGGAAACUUUACGAUAAAACCUCAUACACCAUACGGGGAAAAGCAGGGUAUUUUCGGACUUUCCGGAGUUUAUGAGGCGGAUGUGGAUUUAGCUAGUUGGCGGGGUAAAGGCGCACCAAGGGGACGAUCCGUAGCUGGUCUGAGAGGAUGAUCACCCACACUGGAACUGAGACACGCUCCAGACUCCUACGGGAGGCAGCAGUGGGGAAUAUUGGACAAUGGACGCAAGCCUAAUCCAGCCAUACCGCGUGGGUAAAGAAGGCCUUCGGUUUGUAAAGCCCUUUUUUUGGGAAAGAAAAGCAUCAGGUUAAUACCCCGCUGUUCUGACGGUACCCAAACAAUAAGCACCGGCUAACUUCGUG
rnacentral:rRNA from 1 species